rnacentral:lncRNA from 1 species
CAUAUUAGUUCUAUGAAUACAGCUUAUAUUCUUAUGCUUUCCAUAGAAUCAUGUACGAUUCCAGUUUCCCAGCAUAAGGAGUUCAGUUCUAUUUCCCGCAGUAAUAUAAAUCAUGUCCCACGAAUGCAAAAAACUCCAAACUCAGGUCAUGAAGCUCAUGACUCAUGUACACAUAUCAUGAUUUACAAUAUACUCAGCUUCCAUGGCUCAUGCUACUCCUUUAAUGAUCAGUUAAAUUCAGACUAUGUUAUCCAUAUCCUCAGUUUAGACCUCUUGGUAAGUCCAUGAUAUUUAUAUUCUAUUCCUUAGGCUUCAGUGAAGUGUCAAGUUUAGUUAGUGUCCAUUUAUGCUUCAGGUCCUCCUGAGCUAACCCUUCAGUGAGCUCUCUUUGUGAAAACAGUGUAGUGAUGGGCAGUUUCUUAAAGGGCAGAGAGUAAAUAUUACAUAUUAAGAGAAGAUUGAUGCAUGGUUGUUUUACAUAAGGGUGUAGUUAUGAAGAUAGGCUUGAAUGUCAUGUUAGUGUGCAAGUAAAUGUCUUGCAAAAAGUUGUAUUUAGAAGUUGGGAAAGUACAGAGUGUGAGUGUGUAU